AAUAGUCAGAAAAUAAAAGAACAUAACCAACCUGACAGAGCUGAAACACACACUACAAGGAUUUCAUAAAGCAAUCACAAGUAUUAAUAACAGAAUAG